GGCGAGCAGCACUGAACUUGAAUUAAUCAAAUGGCAUAAGGGAGCUUUCCUUUGUUAGAAAUCCACAGACAACAUACUGGAACUUCCAAACCAAAGAAAUGCAACAUGAGAAGGAGCUUUUUUCGUUCGCUAUGUGCUGACUGGAUGCGUACUCGCGUGAUUGAUCGAUGGACGGGGGAAUUUCGUGAAUGACGAGACCGGCCUAACCUAAAGUAAAGGCUCUUCCCUCUCUUGAUGGCGAAUCUUGAUUGACUGACACUAGGAACCGAUUCGGAG
rnacentral:misc_RNA from 1 species